GGGUGAUUAGCUCAGUAGGUAGAGUAUCUCCCUUACAAGGAGGAGGUCGGCGGUUCAAAUCCGUCAUCACCCA
rnacentral:tRNA from 1 species